rnacentral:lncRNA from 1 species
CCCUGUGACACGUGAUCUCAUGAAAUGUUUGUAAACAUGCGUCAAACGCAUGUGACGGUGACGUGAGAAAUAAGUAGCGGCGCCGGGACCAAUGGCGAAGCGGGGGUGUGAGGGGCGUGGCUCGCGUGGCUGCGCUCAGGAAAAUUCGCUGGCUGCGUUGUACCGAGGCGGAGGUAGGACUGUUUGUCUGAGCUCGGCUGAGCAGGUGACGGAUCGAUCGGAGUGGGAACGGGAACGGGAACGCCAAAGGACGGCGAUGAACGCGACAGUUAGUGUUCAGCGCUUCGGUGCCUCAGGACGGGGAAAGACGCCAGCUCCCGCCGCAUCUCUACUUCAGCCAGCAAAGGAAGGAGCGGCGCCGGCAGGUGGAGUCCAAGUAGAAUAUCUGAAGAGGAGAGAAAAAGGUGAAAGACUUCAGAGUCAAAGAAAUGUCGCGGCGAAAACAGAGGGUAAGUACCUUUCUCUAGGGUCCUACAGUAGGAGGAGGGAUCUGAAUCUUGAGUCCUUCAAGUGGAAGGUGGUACCCUGA